UGGGGGAUAUUGCACAAUGGGCGAAAGCCUGAUGCAGCGACGCCGCGUGGGGGAUGAAGGCCUUCGGGUUGUAAACUUCUUUUGCCCUGAACAAGGCAUGCCUUUGGGGUGUGUUGAGUGUAGGGGUUGAUUAGCGCAGGCUAACUACGUGCAAGCAGCCGCGGUAAUACGUAGGGCGCGAGCGUUGUCCGGAAUUAUUGGGCGUAAAGGGCUUGUAGGUGGCUGGUUGAGUCUGGCGUGAAAGCUCAUGGCUUAACUUUGGAUUUGCGGUGGGUACGGGCUGGCUUGAGUGCGUCAGAGGGGGCUGGAAUUCCAGGUGUAGCGGUGAAAUGCGCAGAUAUCAGGAGGAAUACCGGUGGCGAAGGCGGGUCUCUGGGCUGUUACUGACGCUGAGGAGCGAAAGCGUGGGGAGCGAACAGG
rnacentral:rRNA from 1 species